rnacentral:rRNA from 1 species
UGGGGAAUCUUGGACAAUGGGCGCAAGCCUGAUCCAGCCAUGCCGCGUGAGUGAUGAAGGCCCUAGGGUCGUAAAGCUCUUUCGCCUGUGAAGAUAAUGACGGUAGCAGGUAAAGAAACCCCGGCUAACUCCGUGCCAGCAGCCGCGGUAAUACGGAGGGGGUUAGCGUUGUUCGGAAUUACUGGGCGUAAAGCGCGCGUAGGCGGAUUAGUAAGUCAGAGGUGAAAUCCCAGGGCUCAACCCUGGAACUGCCUUUGAUACUGCUAGUCUUGAGUUCGAGAGAGGUAAGUGGAAUUCCGAGUGUAGAGGUGAAAUUCGUAGAUAUUCGGAGGAACACCAGUGGCGAAGGCGGCUUACUGGCUCGAUACUGACGCUGAGGUGCGAAAGUGUGGGGAGCAAACAGGAUUAGAUACCCUGGUAGUCCACACCGUAAACGAUGAAUGCCAGUCGUCGGGUAGCAUGCUAUUCGGUGACACACCUAACGGAUUAAGCAUUCCGCCUGGGGAGUACGGUCGCAAGAUU